rnacentral:rRNA from 1 species
AUUGAACGCUGGCGGCGGGCCUAACACAUGCAAGUCGAGCGGUAGAGAGGAGCUUGCUUCUCUUGAGAGCGGCGGACGGGUGAGUAAUGCCUAGGAAUCUGCCUGGUAGUGGGGGAUAACGUUCGGAAACGGACGCUAAUACCGCAUACGUCCUACGGGAGAAAGUGGGGGAUCUUCGGACCUCACGCUAUCAGAUGAGCCUAGGUCGGAUUAGCUAGUUGGUGAGGUAAAGGCUCACCAAGGCGACGAUCCGUAACUGGUCUGAGAGGAUGAUCAGUCACACUGGAACUGAGACACGGUCCAGACUCCUACGGGAGGCAGCAGUGGGGAAUAUUGGACAAUGGGCGCAAGCCUGAUCCAGCCAUGCCGCGUGUGUGAAGAAGGUCUUCGGAUUGUAAAGCACUUUAAGUUGGGAGGAAGGUCAGUAGCUUAAUACGUUGCUGAUUUGACGUUACCGACAGAAUAAGCACCGGCUAACUCUGUGCCAGCAGCCGCAGUAAUAC